rnacentral:rRNA from 1 species
UACGUAGGGUGCAAGCGUUGUCCGGAAUUAUUGGGCGUAAAGAGCUCGUAGGCGGCUUGUCGCGUCGGCUGUGAAAACUCGGGGCUCAACCCCGAGCCUGCAGUCGAUACGGGCAGGCUAGAGUCCGGCAGGGGAGACUGGAAUUCCUGGUGUAGCGGUGAAAUGCGCAGAUAUCAGGAGGAACACCGGUGGCGAAGGCGGCUCUCUGGGCCUUACCUGACGCUGAGGAGCGAAAGCGUGGGUAGCGAACAGG